GCGAGCGUAGUCUAGUGGUUAUGAUGUCUGCUUUACAUUCUAAAUGUAAAGUUACGCAGAAGGUCGGGAGUUCGAUCCUCCCCGCUCGUA